UACGGGGGGGGCUAGCGUUGCUCGGAAUCACUGGGCGUAAAGCGCACGUAGGCGGCUUUUUAAGUCAGGGGUGAAAUCCUGGAGCUCAACUCCAGAACUGCCUUUGAUACUGAGAAGCUUGAGUCCGGGAGAGGUGAGUGGAACUGCGAGUGUAGAGGUGAAAUUCGUAGAUAUUCGCAAGAACACCAGUGGCGAAGGCGGCUCACUGGCCCGGUACUGACGCUGAGGUGCGAAAGCGUGGGGAGCAAACAGG
rnacentral:rRNA from 1 species